CCUACGGGAGGCAGCAGUGGGGGAUAUUGCACAAUGGGGGAAACCCUGAUGCAGCGACGCCGCGUGUGGGAAGACGGUCCUCUGGAUUGUAAACCACUGUCCUCAGGGACGAAAAUGACGGUACCUGGGGAGGAAGCUCCGGCAAACUACGUGCCAGCAGCCGCGGUAAUACGUAGGGGGCGAGCGUUGUCCGGAAUUACUGGGGGUAAGGGGAGCGUAGGCGGGGAUGCAAGUUGGGUGUCAAAACUACCGGCUCAACUGGUAGUCGCACUCAAAACUGCAGCUCUUGAGUGAAGUAGAGGCAGGCGGAAUUCCUGGUGUAGCGGUGAAAUGCGUAGAUAUUAGGAGGAACACCAGUGGCGAAGGCGGCCUGCUGGGCUUUUACUGACGCUGAGGCUCGAAAGUGUGGGGAGCAAACAGGAUUAGAUACCCUUGUAGUC
rnacentral:rRNA from 1 species